rnacentral:rRNA from 1 species
CUUGCUGGGUGGAUCAGUGGCGAACGGGUGAGUAACACGUGAGCAACCUGCCCCUGACUCUGGGAUAAGCGCUGGAAACGGCGUCUAAUACUGGAUACGAGGAGCGACCGCAUGGUCAGCUUCUGGAAAGAUUUUUUGGUUGGGGAUGGGCUCGCGGCCUAUCAGCUUGUUGGUGAGGUAAUGGCUCACCAAGGCGUCGACGGGUAGCCGGCCUGAGAGGGUGACCGGCCACACUGGGACUGAGACACGGCCCAGACUCCUACGGGAGGCAGCAGUGGGGAAUAUUGCACAAUGGGCGGAAGCCUGAUGCAGCAACGCCGCGUGAGGGAUGACGGCCUUCGGGUUGUAAACCUCUUUUAGCAGGGAAGAAGCGAAAGUGACGGUACCUGCAGAAAAAGCGCCGGCUAACUACGUGCCAGCAGCCGCGGUAAUACGUAGGGCGCAAGCGUUAUCCGGAAUUAUUGGGCGUAAAGAGCUCGUAGGCGGUUUGUCGCGUCUGCUGUGAAAUCCCGAGGCUCAACCUCGGGCCUGCAGUGGGUACGGGCAGACUAGAGUGCGGUAGGGGAGAUUGGAAUUCCUGGUGUAGCGGUGGAAUGCGCAGAUAUCAGGAGGAACACCGAUGGCGAAGGCAGAUCUCUGGGCCGUAACUGACGCUGAGGAGCGAAAGGGUGGGGAGCAAACAGGCUUAGAUA